UAAUAUUGAAGUUUGUAAAAUUUAUAAAUUAUUAAAAUUUACAAUUUAGUAAUCUAAUUUAAGGUAUUGCAUUAAUUUGGUGAUUAUAUAGAUCGGAAUGAGGAGGUCUAGCAGUGUGAUAUUUGGCGUUCAGUGAAUUAUCUCGGUACUAUAUUAAGGUACGGAUUCCGUACUCUUUCAGCGAGACUCUUUUAUUUUUAAUUGUUCGUUUCGUUAUUCAUUUCGAAAUUUAGUAUUGUCUCUUAAAAUUAUUUCUUGUCAAUUUAUUGUGAGAGUUUCGUUUUGUCGUUGAUAUUAGAAUUCGUAUUUGUACUCUUUGGACUAGUUAAUCGUGUCAAUAUAUUUUGGAGACUUUAUUUGUGGCGACCCCAAAUCCGGAUACUUGAAACCCGAACUCGGUUCUCCANNNN
rnacentral:lncRNA from 1 species